AGACGACAGGAACCGAGUGCAGUUGCUUCAGGAUACGGAUGAUUUUCUCGGCUCUCGCCAAACGAACUCCGGUCCCUGUAGUACAUAUGCCCAGCCUGCACAUGGCGCUGUGUCAACUACGCUGUAACAUACUAACACCGGAAUAUUGGUAGCGGAAGACAGGAAACCCAUAAAACGCACGUGCCAUGUGACGUCAGACGCUGCAGUCCGCCGGUCCCUUUAAAAGCCACAGGUGUCGCGGAUCGUUCUUAUUUGGCGGCGGGACCUGGUCGAUGAACAUCUCGGACCGAACGUGUUUGAACCAGAUGUGGAUUCUUCACACGGAGACCAGGUUGACGUUGUCCAGGGUCGGAGUACGCUCCUGAAACUGAAGGACAAGAAUGUUCAUCCUGAAGAUCUUCAACAUGGUAGGGAACGUCGUUUAUUUCUAAUUCUUUGAGGCCGCCGUGCCUCUGCCGUCCUCUACCAGGCCGCCGUGCCUC